GUAGUUGUUGUCCAAUAACUCGGAGCAUUUAACAGGCAGGGCUUUUUCCAGUUUGUAGGUAGGAGCAGUAAACUUUUCUACAGUAGGUCUAAUUUCUAAGCUUGGUUUAUGGGUUUUAUUCCACAACGAUUUUCAGAAGGCCCUCUUUGCUCCAGUCCAUAUCCAUGCCCGAUCCUGUGACCCCCAUUCUUGUGAGCUUGGUAGUAUUGGGGCCCUGGCCUUGGGGGCCUAUAGAUUGUGUUCACAUUUUGCAGAUCUGCAUAGUGAGCUUGUUUUCAUUGUUGGCUCUUUCAGCAGGCAUGGGUUUGGCACCAAAGGGAUAUUGGGGAUUAUCCAGGACGUUGGGUGUGAAUGUUGUGUCAACGGGGCUUCCCUUCCGAC
rnacentral:lncRNA from 1 species